rnacentral:tRNA from 6 species
GGGUCGUUAGUUCAGUUGGUAGAGCAGUUGACUUUUAAUCAAUUGGUCGCAGGUUCGAAUCCUGCACGACCCACCA